CAAUAGCGUAUAUUAAAGUUGUUGCAGUUAAAAAGCUCGUAGUUGGACCUUGGACCUGGACAGGCGGUCCGCCUCACGGCGAGUACUGUCUUGCUGGGUCUUUCCUCUUGGUGAUCUGUCGUUUCGGCAGCAGGGAACCAGGACCUUUACUUUGAAAAAAUUAGAGUGUUCAAAGCAGGCUCGACGCCGGAAUAUAUUAGCAUGGAAUAAUAAAAUAGGACGUGCGGUUCUAUUUUGUUGGUUUUUGGAAUCGCCGUAAUGAUUAAUAGGGACAGUCGGGGGCAUUAGUACUCACAUGCUAGAGGUGAAAUUCUUGGAUUUUGUGAAGACUAACUUCUGCGAAAGCAUUUGCCAAGGAUGUUUNCAUUAA
rnacentral:rRNA from 1 species